rnacentral:rRNA from 1 species
AUGGCCGACGGCGAGCCCUCCGGCGCGUACAGGGAGUUCAAGGCGCUGGUGGAGGCGGCGGACCGCAAGUUCGCGCGCGCGCGCGACCUGCCGCUCUACGGCGGCGGGGACCACCACAGCCGCAAGGCCUUCAAGGCCUACACGCGCCUCUGGCGCCUGCAGCAGGACCGCCGCCGGGACCUCGUCGCCGCGGGCCUCCGCCGCUGGGAGAUCGGCGAGGUCGCCUCGCGGAUCGGCCAGCUCUACUACGCGCGCUACCUCCGCACCGCCGAGCCGCGCUCGCUCGUCGGCGCCUACGUCUUCUACGAGGCCAUCUACAGCCGCGGCUACUUCGCCGCCCCCGCCCCCGCCAACGCCAACGCCUCCGCGGCCGCGGGGGGCGGCGCCAAGCACCAGGGCCUCCUGAUCCGCUACAAGGAGCUGCGCUUCAUCGCCCGCUUCCUCGUCGUCGCCAUGCUCAUGCGGCGGGCCGAGGCGGUGGACCACCUCGUCGCCCGCCUCCGCUCGCUCGUCCAGGAAUCCAAGUCGGCCUAUCCCAAAACCAACUUCAAGGAAUGGAAACAAGUGCUUCAAGAGCUUGACAGAUUCUUGAAAGCUGACGGAGCAUACAAAGGAUCUAGAUCACUUAGAUAUGAUAACUUGUUUGAUUCUUAUGCAUCAAACCUUGCAUCAAUAGCAAGAUUCCAUUCGAAAAGAGUACUGAAACUGAAGGAAGCUGUAUUAACAAGUUACCACCGAAACGAGGUCAAGUUCACAGAGCUAACUUUGGACACUUUCAGAAUGCUACAGUCUUUAGAAUGGGAGCCCACAGGGUCUUAUCAGAUAGCUGUUAAAGAACUUACAGAAAAUGGCACUAUGAGUGAUCAGAGUGGACCCUCUGGUCUGAUCGAUAUUCACCUUUCUACAGAGAUCUCUGAUGGAAAUCUUCCUUCAAAUCCUCAAAGAGCAAUCAUAUAUCACCCUACAGUCUCUCAUCUUAUAGCGGUUCUUGCCACAAUCUGCGAGGAGCUUUCUCAAGAUAGCAUUUUGCUAAUUUAUAUAUCAGCAUCAGGCCUUGCUGAUCAGAAUGCAUAUCAUAAGUAUGCAUCUAGCUCUUCAUCACGCUCGAGGUCUGCUUCUGCUUUCUCAAUCGAUAAGCCAAAUUCACAUACCGGUUUAGAUGAUCAUGUAUGGCUUGGUCCUCGUGGAAAUGGUGGUCCAAACAAUCUUUAUCCAGAAGAUCUGAUACCAUUUACAAGAUACCCACUUUUCCUUGUAAUUGACAGUGAAAAUAGCCAUGCAUUCAAGGCCAUACAUAAUGCAGAGAAGGGAGAGCCAGCUGCCUUACUUCUUUCUCCUAGGAUUGCAUCGGCCAUGCCUGGUGUAGAAUCAGGCAAUGGAGGCCAAUUUACAUACUUCCUGACUGCUCCGAUGCAAGCCUUCUGCCAAUUAGCUGGAAUAACUUCCGACAUUGACAGCGAUACAUAUGCUAAUGCAGAGAAUAUAAUUUUCUCUGCUUUGGAACAGUAUGAAGAAAUCCUCAGCACAUCUGUUGGAUUGAAUAUUGUCUGGGGUCAAAUUUUACCUGAUCCAUUUCUCAGGCGCCUGAUUCUCAGGUUUAUUUUCUGUCGAGCAGUGUUGUUCUAUUUCCAUCCUGAGGAGCAUGGCGAACAUCUACCAAUCUGCUUACCCAGUCUUCCUGAGUCGGUCUCUCCAAACGCCAAAGCCAUCAAGACUCCCAUCCUUCUGCUUGCAGAAAACCUUGUUGUCAGCAAUCGGUUUCAUUUCGGCAACAGGACAUGA